AUCGAAAGGGUCGACAUCUGCCGACUAACUAGUCUAAAAAGGUCCGAUUUGCCGACUGAGGGUCCAGUUUGCCGACUAAAAACCAUUGAUAGGGGGUGUCACACCCCCCCCAUCAAUGAAUCAAUAUCUUCAGGUUUGUUUAUGUUAAGUCAAAAACUUCCCUCUGAUUUUGCAAGAAAACCUCGAUCCCUUGACGAGCUCAACUACUGGAAAGCAACUGAAUUUAGACAAUUUCUUUUAUAUACUGGUCCCUUUGUUUUGUAAAAAAAUAAGCCUAAAAAGGUUUAUGAAAUUUUUAUAGUUUUACACGUUGCAAUAUCAAUACUAUUAUUCGAUGAUGAUGGCAAGCGGAACCAUUUUUUAGAUUAUGCUAGAUAUUUUACUCAGUAUUUUGUAGCAAAUGUAAAGCAUGUCUUCGGAGAGACCUUGUCAGUUUAUAAUGUUCACUCUCUUAUUCAUCUUGCUGAUGAUGUUGAAAAUUAUAAUUGCUCCUUGAAUUAAUUUCCCGCAUUUCCUUUUGAGAAAUUUUUACAGUAAAUCAAAAAUUGUGUUAAAAGUGCUCACAAUCUAAUGUCUCAAGUUUGUUGUAGAUUGGCUUCACCAAGAAUUUUAAUUGAGAGUGGAAAAAUGUAAAAAAUCUGUAAAAGGUUUAAAGAUUCAUGGUUCAUCCUUAGAAGCGGGAAAUUAUGUUUUGUGAAGAAAAAAGUUGACAAAUGCACAUAUAAAUGUGGUGUCUUCAUGAGAAGUGACUUAGAUUGUUUAUACAACACACCUCUUGAUUCAAGAAAUCUUGGAAUUUGUUUUGUUAGAGAUAUUAUGAACAGAAAGACAGAAGAUGUUUAUUUGAAAGUCGAUGAGUUGUUUAAAAAAGCUGCUGUAUUACCAUUUGAAAAUGGUCAUGCAAUUUUUCCAUUGUUGCAUAAUAACAAACGCUAAAUGCAAUAUUUCACUUUUUUUUCAAAUUUAAUAUGUUUUUCUAAUUAAAAUAAACAUCAAUUUUAGGUUAUUUAUAUAAAUAACAAAGUAUAUAUAACAUAUUAUCCCUGAUAAAUGUCCCCUAAAUCCAAACUCAUAUUAAAUUACGGAUAUAAGCCCCUUGAUAUAUGUGCUAUAUAUUAAAAUACAAUUAAAUUUUUACUUUCAAAUCUAUACUUAUUACAUUGUUGUUGUUUUUUCUAUGUUUUAUUUAAAUUGAUAAUUCAUUGACUUCAUUGAAGAUUUAAUUUAUCAUUGCUUUUUAAUACAGUACUUUUGUAUACUUAAAACAUUUUGCCUAAAUGGAGUUUACAAAUGGAUGGGCCGCAGCUGUUUGACUUGAAAAUGUUGAUGGUAAGAAAGAAAACGUAGAUGGUGUGGUGCCAGUAAAAUGGUAAGACAAGGUGGAGAAGAAAUUGUAUUGGCCACAAGGCAUGAAUGUACUAAAUUUUACAAAUUCUACACCAAACAAAGAGCUAUGGUAUUAAUAUGAUCUAGUUUCAAUUAAGUUAGUUGCGGGUAAGUGAUUUAAAAAAUGUUACGGUUUAAUUUUGGAUUUUAACACAUAAGCAAGGCUGGAAUACGCAUAUAGUUAGAGUUUACAAACAUUUGGUAUGUGAUCUAAUUUUUUAAUGUGUUGUUCUUGAAGAACGUUGUUUAUUACACAUUAAUUUAAAAUAUUUAUUUUCAGACAAAAAAAAAACAUGUGAACAAUUUCUAUCUAUAUAUAUGUGUUCAAGUGCCAGCGAAACGGACAAUAGAAAAGAAAAAGCAUCAAGUAAGCUUGGAAUUUUUUUUAAAUGUUUUUAAAUGAUAAUUUUAUUGUUUGUAUUUAGUUAAACGAUGAAAUUAUGACAAAAGAUUCGCUCUUUAUCUUUUAUGUUAAAGUUAUUUCCUUGUUAACUGUUGUCUGUCAUUAACAAAGCAAGUAAAAAAUGUACAUAAUGACAACAGAUUUAUCUUUACAAUCGUCUACAAAACUGUGCUCUAGUUUGCCAGUCCCACCAAAAUUGUUUUCAGAAAAAGUUGACUUUUCUUCAUCUUUUGUUUCAGAUAAAGAGAAAACACAGCCAACAUGGAUCCAGAGGAAAAGCUCAAGAUUAUGCUUGUCUAUCCCAAAGCGUCCGCAUUCUACUAUUAUGAAAAUGUUUUUUUGUGAUUCAAAUUUUUUGCUGUUGUGAAUCAUCAUCUUCUUGUAAAAGACCGCAAUUGAGCCUUGCAGCAUCAGACCAGCUUAGUGAAACAGCUGUAUUUCCAAUUGAACCGACUUCAAAAAAAGAGUACCAGAAUCUGUCACUUGGUCUCUUGCGGAAGAUAAAAGAAAACGUAAUUUGUAAAUUGUUGUUGGCCAACAGAAGAAAAGGAUAACCAUGCAAUAAAAAUGAUGGCAACGAUGGAAGAUUUUAAUGCCUUUGAAAGAGAGUUGUUAGACGAACAGAAACGUUCAAUCAUGAGAAAAUCUUUACGUUAAGUCCGUGGUUUGGAUGCGAAAGACCAAGUAAAAAUGAUACUGGAAAGGUUCACUUUCUUUUAGCUAAACAACAUUGCAGCUUUCUAGUCUUUAUUUUUGUUUAUGUGUGAUUCAUCUGUGUGGAUAAUGAUAUCGCCUGUUUUUAUAAUUUUAUGUUAUUAGGUAAAGCAUCAUUAUAUUUCAGGCUAAAAUUGAGCUUUGAACACUAGGUUUAUCUAGUUUAAAUAAAUAACAACUCUCAAUGUGUAUUAGCUGAAUUAAAUUUUCGUUUUUGAUAGUCCUUAGUCAAUAACGGAUUUUUUAAUUGUUAUGGGUCUACAACACUUAAUUUCAACGAAGUUAAAUUAAAAAGUUGUCUUUCAUAGCAAAUCUGAGAGGUGCAAAUGCUUAGUUUGCUUUAAGUACUACAUAAUAUAAUAUAUCGUUGUACAUUCAUUUUGAUAAUAAUAAAUUUUUUUAGCAUACUUAUUUAUUAUAUUUUUAGACUGUUUACCGUUGGACUUCUGUCCCAAUUUAACUUAGUGGAGACAAAAAGAAAGGACCGCUGUGGAAAUAAGAGGGGGUUGUAAGGAUCAGCCGUUUUUGAAUUAAUAGUCGAAGUCGCAGCCAUCUUGUAUAAAAAGACUUUUCGACGAGAAAUAGUUAAUUUUAUUCAGAGAAAGCUGAAGAACGCCCCUGAUCAAAUCGGGAGGUUGCGUGAACAACAACGCCAAGAAACAGAGGAGAAAGCUGAAGAAACAGAGGAAAAAGAGUAGAGUGAAAAUAAUGUGGAAUUUGGAGAUGAAUCUGCUGAUGACUCUUAAUUUAUUUAACUUAAUUUAACUUAAUUCAUUUAACUCUUAAUUUAAUUAAUAUAUUCUGCUGAACAAUA